GACAGAGGGUGCGAACGUUGCUCGGAAUUACUGGGCGUAAAGCGCGUGUAGGCGGGUGGUCAAGUCAGAUGUGAAAUCCCUGGGCUCAACCCAGGAACUGCAUUUGAAACUGGUCGCCUUGAGUGUUGGAGAGGGAAGCGGAAUUCCUGGUGUAGAGGUGAAAUUCGUAGAUAUCAGGAGGAACACCGGUGGCGAAGGCGGCUUCCUGGACAACUACUGACGCUGAGACGCGAAAGCGUGGGGAGCAAACAGG
rnacentral:rRNA from 1 species